UGGUCCUUAUGUGUUAGUGUGUUUGCAAUUCUUUCUCAUUUGUUAGGAACAACAGUGAAUUUCAUGUUUUUUUUUUGAUAGAAAUGGUCUUCAAUUAUAGAUGUCUUUGCAACUCUAUCUAAGUUGUCAUUGAUUUUUGUGGGGGUCAGUUUAUGUCAUUUUGAACUUUCUUUUGUUUACACGUGUUAUUUUGAAUUUGCUUCACCGUUUUUACACCAUCUUUGCCUCCAAUGGGAUGCUUACACGACUCCUUCCCACCGCCUCACUACUUAGAUAGCUUUUCCACUACUGUGUCUUCCUUCGGUUUCCUAACCAUUCUUAUGUUAAUUCUUCAUUCAUCAUAAUCCUCAUCUUCACCGCCACCACCAUUUGCUCUGGCGUCUUCUUUUACGCCCUCGAUUCAAGCUGAUUCGCUUCCCAUUGUGUUGCCCUAAGUUUUCGGGAUCAGGGGUUUUUAGGGAACUUUAGCUCCAUCUGUCUACCUUUUGAUUGGAAAAAAAAAACCCACGAUGACUUGGGUCUGGAUUUCGAAAUUGAAGCAAUCCGAGGGGGUAUGAAAAACGUAGAAAAGGGAAAUUAACAAUGCGAGGGGGUAUGACAGACGACCACCAUCGUGUAUACAUAUUGGGCUUAGAGAAGGAAGUGGUGUCUCCAUCUUUCGUUGUGGUUCUACAACCCAUUUUGCCUUAAUCUUCAUAAAUCGAACGGCAACACCGCCACCAUGUCACUUUGAUUGGCUUUUAUCUGCCCACGAAGGUUUAUUUUCGAAUGCUUUAUUCCACAAAUCUUCCUCUUUAUGAAAAUUAGGGCUUUCAUCAAGAAAGUCGACGACUCAAUUUAAAGGGUCCUAAUUAGGUAUUUUGUUUUCCCAAAAUUAUCUCCUUUCUUGCAAUCCUUUCACCCUGCCUAAAUACAAACCAGGUUUGCAAGUCUAGAUGUAAUCAAAUUUGUGUCGGCAUAUCUUCAUCCCGAUGCCAGCUUCUUGGUAACUUGGUAACUUCUAAGUUCUAUCUGACAUUUGCAGGUUUUCCAUGUGUAUUAUGGAAAAUCAACACUUUCAGGAAGGCUGCUUCCGUUUUUUCUCAAUCCUCUCGAUCAAGGCUUCGAAGCCCCCGUUAAUCAGAAUCGAAAUCAACAUUUUUGUCCAUUCAAACUUCCAAUAUAUAUGUUGUCCACAUCAUGUUUCAAACCUGGAUUUGCAUGGAUUUUGCUAGGAUUCUUAAGACCCUCCCAUGAAGUUUACAAGUUUUUAAAUCAACAUCAAAAUACUGGAAUGAAGAUGAAGAGAGCUUUUGUUAAAUCUUUUGGGCUAAUUCGAUCUACUUUUCUACAUCAUGGAGAGAAAAUAUCAACCGGGGUUGCAGAAAGAUCAUAUGUAAAUAAUGGGAAUUUCAAUACAUCAUCUUACAGUAUGUGUAAAUGUAGACUACCUUCUUGUAUGUUUUCAAUAAUCAAUUCUUCUAAUGCUGGUGAAGUAAACUAUAAAGGUCCAAAAUUAGAAUUUAAAAGUUUAAUUUAGUCAAUGAUUAUUUGUAAAAGUUGAAAAUGAUUAAAACGUGUUUAUAACAGCAGUGAAAAGACCAUGGCCUUUUGUGGAGUAUGAGCUAUGAAUCAAAGCUUGGGAUGUUUGAUAAUAGUCAGUUGUAGAUAUGUUGGUGCUCAAGAAACAUGUUGUGUCUCAAUGCUAUCAAGGUUUUGUAUUCAUGUUGGGUGUUAUGGAGCCAGAAGAAAGACAUCUCCAUAGUAGAGGCUCGGUGUGUCAUCUUUAAAAUUGGAGAUGAUUCUUCCAGACAGAGCAUAUGCAUUUUCUCCCACACUCAUAAAGCACAAAAAGAGAAUUCGUCCAUUUUGUCCUCAGUCAAAGAUCAAUUAAAAGAAGUCAAUCUAUCCGAUUUUAUAGCUGGAAGACUAGAGGAAGAAGCAUAAUGACUAUGUUUUCUUCAGCUCUUGAUGGCUCUGACUUGAGGCCCUGUUUCACACAACUAAAACAGAGCAGAAAAUGGAGAGGAUUAGAGAGAUCAAAGUACAAGACGAGAUGGAGCAAUUUUCUGGGUUUUCUCACUGCUUCAAAAACUAAGACGUUACAAGCUACUUAUCCUAUCAAUAAGCUAGAAAUGUGGAACCACUAAACCACUUAAUUGCUAGUUCCUAAAGAAAAGGGAAAAUGACCAACAUGGCCUUUGACA